rnacentral:rRNA from 1 species
AACGUAGGAGACGAACGUUAUCCGGAGUUACUGGGCGUAAAGGGCGUGUAGGCGGUUUGUUAAGUCUGGCGUGAAAGCUCUCGGCUAAACCGGGAGAGGUCGUUUGGAUACUGGCAAACUAGAGGAUGGUAGAGGCGUGUGGAAUUCCGGGUGUAGUGGUGAAAUGCGUAGAGAUCCGGAGGAACACCAGUGGCGAAGGCGACACGCUGGGCCAUACCUGACGCUAAAGCGCGACAGCAUGGGGAGCAAACGGG